CUUAACAAGGUGAAACCGCGAACGGCUCAUUACAACAGCUAUAAUCUACUCGGUCUUGAACAGUUACUCGGAUAACUGUGGUAAUUCUAGAGCUAAUACGUGCACCGAAGCUGUCCCUCGCGGGGCAGUGCAUUUGUUGGAGCAAAACCAGGCGGCUUCGGCCGUUUUUGCUGACUCAGAACAACUUAGCUGAUCGCAUGGGCUUGUCCCGGCGACGUACCGUCCGAGUGUCUGCCUUAUCAACUUUCGAUGGUAGUGUACGUGACUACCAUGGUUGUGACGGGUAACGGAGGAUAAGGGUUCGACUCCGGAGAAGGGGCCUGAGAAAUGGCCACUACGUCUAAGGAUGGCAGCAGGCGCGCAAAUUACCCACUCUCGGUUCGAGGAGGUAGUGACGAAAAAUAACAAGGCUGUUCUCUACGAGGCCAGCCAUUGGAAUGGGUACAACACAAACCCUUUAACGAGUAUCAAUGAGAGGGCAAGUCUGGUGCCAGCAGCCGCGGUAAUUCCAGCUCUCAAAAUGCAUAGAACCAUUGCUGCGGUUAAAAAGCUCGUAGUUGGAUCUGUGCCGGCGACGUGGUCCACCCUAACGGGCGGUACUGCGCUCGUCGGCUUUGGGCCGGUCUUCGUGCGGCCGCCUUAACUGGUGGCCGCCCGUGGCUGGCUGGUUUACUUUGAGCAAAUCAGAGUGCUCAGCACAGGCGUUUCGCCGGAAUGUUCGUGCAUGGAAUAAUAGAAAAGGAUUUCGGUCCUCUUUUAUUGGUUUUGUGGACUGAGAUAAUG
rnacentral:rRNA from 1 species